ACUCCUACGGAGGCAGCAGUGGGGAAUCUUGCGCAAUGGGCGAAAGCCUGACGCAGCAACGCCGCGUGGGGGAUGACGGCCUUCGGGUUGUAAACCUCUUUCGACACCGACGAAGCCAUCUUCGGGUGGUGACGGUAGGUGUAGAAGAAGCACCGGCUAACUACGUGCCAGCAGCCGCGGUAAUACA
rnacentral:rRNA from 1 species